rnacentral:ribozyme from 1 species
UUUUUUUUUUUUUUUUUUUUUUUUUUUUUUUUUUUUUUUCCU